UAGACUGCUUUGAGAUCUCAUUUC
rnacentral:piRNA from 1 species